UUUGUAAACUAAGAUGUGGAUUGGAUUUUAAAAAUAAUAUGGCAGCACUGUACUCUUCUUUACCUAUCCACAGCUCAGCAAUGCUAAAGGUCUCCAGCACAGAAGACCAUAAGACUGUGGAUACAAAACAGGUUGGCUGCAGGACAAUUGGUUUUGAGAUUCUCAUGGAUUUCAAGUCCUACAACACCACCACUCAUGGUUAGUUGUCUUCAGGCUCUGCUGAUUUUACUGGAUCAAGUAACCAGUGGCCUUCUGAUCACUGCCAUGGCGUCUUUGUUUCUUCUGGAUUCAGAUCCCUCUGAGUGGUCUGUGGCAAGUGGGAAAAAAGAGAGAAUACAAUAGCAUGCUCCUGACUGAAUGGCAGUUAGAAUCAUACCCCAAAACCAGGAAAAGAACUUUGACAUUAUUCCCUCUUUCUGCCCAUGGCUGGUGGCUGUUCAUCUUUACUUCUUUCAGUUUAAAAUCUCUUGACAUUUGUAAUAGGUUGAAAACUUGAUCCAAAUCAAUUGUUCAGUCUUCUUAUUUUUUUCUUCCCAAGAUAUUCAAUAAGCACUUUGUACUGCUUACACCAACUAUGUGAGAAUAUACAUAAGAAGCCAUAUAGGCUCCUUCUGGUCCAAACCGUAAGGUAUUAUUAUGCCUUUGUUAGCUCUACAACACUUUCUUGAAUAGCCUUUGGCUGAUAAUAGCAGACCAAGCUCUCCACUGAUUGUACUGCAUGUUGUAUAAUUAUUUCUACUAGUGCAAAUGGAAUGUAGAACAGUGUCCAUUUUACAUUGCAAUAAACAGUUCCAGGAGACAGAGCAGCGGAAAGUCAGGCUCAGCAUCUUAUGGAAUGGAGCAGUACAGAAAGAGAUGUUACCUGUC